GUGUUAUAUGAAAGGAGAGAAGGAUAGCACUCCCCUUGACAAGGAUCGACAAGGCUCUCAGGCCUAACAACAUGCAUACAGUUAAGACAAUGCCAACUACUUUGUGGCAUCUAACCACUGUUUGGG
ensembl:snRNA